UACGAAGGGGGCGAGCGUUGUUCGGAAUCACUGGGCGUAAAGGGCGCGUAGGCGGCCCUCUUAGUCGCGUGUGAAAGCCCCGGGCUCAACCUGGGAACGGCGCGCGAAACGGGAGGGCUGGAGUUCGGGAGAGGAGAGUGGAAUUCCCAGUGUAGAGGUGAAAUUCGUAGAUAUUGGGAAGAACACCGGUGGCGAAGGCGGCUCUCUGGGCCUGUCCUGACGCUGAGGCGCGAAAAGCUAGGGGAGCGAACAGG
rnacentral:rRNA from 1 species